rnacentral:rRNA from 1 species
AGUGAACGCUGGCGGUAGGCCUAACACAUGCAAGUCGAACGGCAGCACAGAGGAGCUUGCUCCUUGGGUGGCGAGUGGCGGACGGGUGAGGAAUACAUCGGAAUCUACUCUGUCGUGAGGGAUAACGUAGGGAAACUUACGCUAAUACCGCAUACGACCUACGGGGGAAAGCAGGGGAUCUUCGGACCCUGAGCGAUUGAACGAGCAGAUGUCGGAUUAGCGAGUUGGCGGGGUAAAGGCCCACCAAGGCGACGUUCCGUAGCUGGUCUGAGAGGAUGAUCAGCCACACUGGAACUGAGACACGGUCCAGACUCCUACGGGAGGCAGCAGUGGGGAAUAUUGGACAAUGGGCGCAAGCCUGAUCCAGCCAUACCGCGUGGGUGAAGAAGGCCUUCGGGUUGUAAAGCCCUUUUGUUGGGAAAGAAAUCCAUCUGGUUAAUACCCGGGUGGGAUGACGGUACCCAAAGAAUAAGCACCGGCUAACUACGUGCCAGCCGCCGCAGUAA